CUUUUAUCGGAUACUUCACGGAAAUGGGUUUGGUCGAACGAGAAGCCAACAUGCAAGAUCUCAACGUGUCAAGACCCGGAAGAUCGAGGGAUCUUUUUGGCGUACAACUCGAGAAAAUAAACGGUCAACAGAGAGAUAGAUGGAUAGAUAUAGGAUAAAACCUGAGUCGAGUUAGGACCUUGAACGCGAACGCGAUAAUCGAUCGGAGACAUCGACGACGAAGGAAACAAUGCGAACGUGCCGAGUAUACUUGUCGAGGGGCAAGAAUAAAUCCGAUGGUAGCUGCUUGCGACUUCGGCUCGAUUCCAAUGCUCGACUUUUGCCAAGAAUUGUGUGUGACGUUGAACAAGUAGUGAGAGGUCCGAGUCAUAAAACCGGUGUCGGUUCUGGUACAACGAGCAGCCACCUGAAACCGAAACGACGGCGAGAGGAAAGUCUGUUUCUUUCCUACUCUCUUUCUCUCUUUCUCUCUCUUUCUCUUUCUGUUUCUCUCUCUUUUCAUCUCUCUAUCUAUUCAUAUAUCCAUCUCUUACUCGAUCUCUGUCUUUCUCUUUUUCUCGUGAUCUCUUUCCUUCUUAUUCUGCGUUGGCACGUAGAAUCCGUUUUACCGGUCCGUCUCGUUAAGCUUCCUUCCUUUCAUCUCUUUACUUUUCUCGCACUGCUCGUAAAUUAUAAACGAGAUGGAUACUAUCAUCCCGAUACUUUUUAUUUCUUCGCUACUGCUACCGUAAAAUCCGUCUAUACGUAUUAAUGUUGCUUUAUUUAAAUUUUAUUUUGAUUGAUCUUUCUCCUUUGUUACGCAAGUUAUUAUUUCUUAACUGUUUUUCUUUCCUUUUCCUUUUCUUUUUAUACAAACGUUGAGUAAGUAGAUACGAUCUACGUCAACGUAAAAUACUUCGAUCGAAGAAAAGAGUAUCCUGCGAUGAUACAAUUUGAUACUGUUCGAAGAUAUCAAUUAU